GGAGAGAUGCCAGAGCGGUCGAAUGGGGCGGUCUCGAAAACCGUUGUGCCUCUUUGGGGUACCGAGGGUUCGAAUCCCUCUCUCUCCGCCA
rnacentral:tRNA from 1 species